rnacentral:rRNA from 1 species
UACGUAGGGGGCAAGCUUUGUCCGGAUUUAUUGGGCGUAAAGCGCACGCAGGUGGCUGAGUCAGUCGAUUGUGAAAGCCCUGGGCUUAACCUGGGAAUUGCAGUCGAUACUACUCAGCUAGAGUAUGGGAGAGGGUAGUGGAAUUCCCGGUGUAGCGGUGAAAUGCGUAGAUAUCGGGAGGAACAUCAGUGGCGAAGGCGGCUACCUGGCCCAAUACUGACACUCAGGUGCGACAGCGUGGGGAGCAAACAGG